CUCCUCUGCAUUUUUUUACAACAGUUAAGAGCAGCAAUUGGCCAACUGGUCCCUAUCCAAUUCUCUAGGCCAUGUGCCCCAAGAAGUCCUUUCUUCACUGCCCUGUGGUGGCCUUGGCCUGCCUCCCUACUCAAGUCACUCCUUUACCACUAAUUUAACCCUGUUUCCAUUUAUAGGAUCUUACCUAGCCAUAGGACCUGCUGCCUCUGCCAAUUGAAAAAUACUAUUGAAGUUGUCUGCAAGACAGUCAAGCUGCACUGUGACAGUGACUGCCUGGCAAGCACCAUACGUUGUGGUGAAGAAGCAGCUGUAGGGAACGUAGAAGGAUCAUUCAUGAAGGUGUUACGAGCCCGGAAUAAGAGCAUCAGCACUGAGCUCAUUAUUGAGCCAGAGAAAGCGUCCUCGGACAGACGUGGUGUCAGCCUGUCAGCCUUCAUGAAUAAACAAGUAGAUUUUAAUGACAAAAGUGAUGUUAUCAGUGCACUAAAUUACGUACUGCCUUGUUUCUCAGAGGGAAAUCUGGAGGAUUUAGAAACAGCAUUUUUACCAUUCAUUAAACUUCUUUUUUCAAAUGUACAAGAUAGAGAUAAGCCCCUGGGUUAUUUGAUAAAAAA